ensembl:lncRNA
GCUUAUGAGAAAGGGUGGAAAUUCUGAUACCUUUUAUUAGAAUUGUACAGAAGUAGAAGAAUCCUCACAGAGUCACGGACUCCUUUCUCUGUUGCCUUUGAAAAGUUAACACAUGUGAGGCUAUGCAAGAAGCAGACACUGCAGCGGAGGAGGAGGGAUGUGGCAAUGCAGAGGCUGGGGCUUGUGCAUUUUGAAAAGUGGCAGGACUCUGCCAGGUAGGGAUUUACAUGUACAUUUUUGUUAACAUGAUGUUAUCAUCUACUAAACAGAACAAGAAUGGUAAGCAGAUUGGAAAUGUUGGUCAGAUUUGGUGGCACAGUCAAAUGCUCUGCUUCCACCUCUCGGCAGGACAGCCAACAAUUGGUAUCGCUUUGCUCAGUCAUUCAGUUUACAGUCUCUCCUCAAGAAUUCUCAUUGUCCCUCUCCUCCCCUGCCACCACAGCAGACAGCACUGUUCUCGAAACCAAAACUUGAAAUGUUAGCCUCGGUGAAGGCAACAAAGAUGGCAGCUUUGGGAUGGGCAAAGGACUGUCCUUCAUGAUGUGCCUGGUGGGACAGGACGGUCAGUCUGGGCAGCCCCAAAUCCUACCUUUGGGAAUGCUCAGGACCAAAUUGCUCAAGGGGAGAUGGAGAUGUUCCUUACUGCCCAAAGAGGAUGUUUCUCUGUAGCCUCCAAUAGCCCCUGGUUCAUUUCUGUCACAAAUAAUUAGGGUUUUCAUCCUUUCUAAGAUAUUUAUCUUAAUCCUAGCUUGGAUGUUCUCAUUAUUCUCAUAAGCAUCUAAAUUAAACUAUUUUAUAUCAUAUUAAGUCUUUAGCCAGAAGGGUAUCGUGUGGCAAUCAGUUCCAUAGGUUAAUUAUGAACUGAAUAAAAUAGGAUUUUCUUUGUUGGUUUUUAAAUAUGUUGUUUUUCCAUGUUGUUGCAUUAGGACGAGAGGAAACCAGAAACAAGCUGUUGGUCUUCUCUCUCUUUAUCAGACAGAGAUGCGUUCGCUUUGUGAAUGGGAAACUGAAACAUGGAGAUAUUCUGACAGCUCCCAGGGAAGGAUGGAAACCCUCCUGUUCACAUCCUGGAGAUGACCCACUCAUCACAGCCCUGGGGAGAAGAUUCGUGUACCUGGUGCACAGGAGGCGCAGAGCAGGGCAGCUUGCAUCAUUCCCCUGCUGCUGGCAAGCCCUCUCCAUGGCAGAGCUGUUGCGGUGGCAGCACGCAGUCACACCGUGGCAACACGUUUCCUUGUGAAGCCUGUGGAAGAGUCUCAGACAAAGUACUGAAAGGAGUUGAUUUUCGAGCUAAAACACGUGGGUAAGUUUUAACCUGACCAUUUUGUUCCUGAGGAUCCAUAAAGGACCUCUACUGAGUUCACAGCUUACUAUUGUUCCUAGCCAUGUGCGGGAAAGAAGGAAGCAUGAAUAGUGGAAAAGACCAUGAGGAAAAGGCAGGAGUCAUCUUUUUCUGUGCAAAGUGUAGGCAGUAUGCUGGUGAUUCUGGUGAACAAAAUGGAGGGAGAAAAUGGCUAUCCUUGCCAAGCAAGAGAGGACAAAUCCAC